rnacentral:rRNA from 1 species
UACGGGGGGGGCAAGCGUUGUUCGGAUUCACUGGGCGUAAAGGGUGCGUAGGCGGUCGGGUAAGUCUGAUGUGAAAUCUCCAAGCUCAACUUGGAAAUGGCAUCGGAUACUAUUCGGCUCGAGGAAUGGAGGGGAGACUGGAAUACUUGGUGUAGCAGUGAAAUGCGUAGAUAUCAAGUGGAACACCAGUGGCGAAGGCGAGUCUCUGGACAUUUCCUGACGCUGAGGCACGAAAGCCAGGGGAGCAAACGGG